CCCCGCCAGGAUGGAGCCCGCCAAGCUCCCCGCCGCCAAGAGACCGGCUCCGGCGCCCCCCGUCCCGGCCAAAACCAAGCCGGSCCCCGGCAAGCCCUGCGUCCCCAACGGCGAGCGGAGCAAGGCCAGCGACCCAGACACCGACGGCUUCGGCGCCCUGCAGGUCUGCACGGCCCCGCUGAGCCACCCGACCGCCAGGCGCCCCAGGGUGCCGGGCAAGCGGCUGCCCAGCCUCCCCGUGGACCAGCAGCUCUGGGUGCUGCAGCCGCGCGAUGGCGAGGAGGAGCGGCCGCCCGGCGGGAUGCCACCCUGCUCCCAUCUCCCCGCGGCGGCGCUGGGCACGGAGGUGCCUGUCCCGCCGCAGGGCCGGGAGCUGCCGGAUGAGCGGCAGGCGCUGGAGGACCUGAAGGCRGAGGUGCGCUCCCUGCACAUCCUGGUGGACCUGAUGCGAUCCCAGCACCUGCGGGACCUGGAGGACAUGAGGCUGGAGCUGUGCCAGGAGCGGGCCAAGCGCCAGGCGCUGCAGGCGGAGAUCGAGCGGGUGAAGACGGCGCUGCCCUGCUAGAGCCACGCGACGUUGGCGGCGGUGCCACCCCCCCCCC
rnacentral:lncRNA from 1 species